UGCAGGAGUAGAUAAAUGAGCUACUAAAGUGAAGGAAUCCAGAACCUCAGGGGUAAGGUAAACUGUCAUGGAGUUACCUCUAUGAGGAUUGUUAUGAGCAUCAGGGUGGACUGAAGCAAUGUGAAGCACUAGACAGCCCAUGGUCUGAGAUGAUUAAAGGUUAUGGGCAAUCUACUCAGUCCGGUCAGCAGUCAGCCUCACAGAGUCUCAUACAUCUUCACGUGGUGUGAGAGAUUUCCUGAGCAUUCUAAGAGGAGGAGAGAAGGAGCUGAGGAUGCAGACAGGGGUGCUAACAUAGAGGCUGAGGAGCACAGAGGAGCAGGUGGGUACCAUGCUGGGUACCA